UGCAGAAGAGGUAUUUGCUCUUAUUCCUUCCCUUUCUCUAAUGUAUUUUGUAAUAUAAUUAGCAAGUGUAGUAAGAUCAAUGCUUUACUAGGACUGGAGACCACAGCAGCGAUUCUGCUCUUGCCCUACCUCUUCAAAGAGGACCCGAGUGGCCUUUAUGUCCGUGACAUGAUUUCACCGCUCUUCACUCCUUUACUGCACAUCGGCGGAAAUCCAUUUCACCAUGAGAGUGAAAUCCUGCUGGCCUUUGAUGGGGAGAACAUCCACGCCCUCGAGGACGUCUCCAUGGGACUUGGGGCUCUGCUAGGGCUGUAUUU